GGCGCUUCACACCCACCUAGAGGAGCCUGUUCUAGAACCGAUGACCCCCGUUCAACCUCACCUUCUCUUGUUUUACCCGCCUAUAUACCGCCGUCGUCAGCCCACCCUGUGAAGGCUCAGUAGUGAGCGUAACUGGCAUAGCCCAAAACGUCAGGCCGAGGUGUAGCGAAUGAGAAGGGAAGAAAUGGGCUACAAUUGCUUAAACAGCUAAAACGAAUUGUAUACCGCUGAAAAUGCAGACAUGAAGGAGGAUUUAGAAGUAAGGGGCAAGCAGAGUGUCCCCCUGAAAUGGUUCUGAAGCGUGCACACACCGCCCGUCACUCUCCCCGAGUUAUAAUAUUGAAAUUUAACUAAUAAAUCUUAACCCUACAAAGGGGAGGCAAGUCGUAACAUGGUAAGUGUACCGGAAGGUGCACUUGGAAUAAAAC
rnacentral:rRNA from 1 species